AAAGCAGCAGGAAGAAACGAAGCAAUCGAUCCUUUAAAUCAGGAACGCAAAAAAAAAUUUAAAAAAUGGGAGGUAUGUGCGAGCUUUUCUCGUUUCUCUCUUUCUUUGCUAACACGAAUCAAACUAUGGAAAAUGCAACACGCUAGCUAUCUUCGAUCCGACUGGACUGACUGAGCUCUACUGGAGAAAUGCGGACUGUGGUAUCUCAUCUCGAAACUCAUGCUCUCUCUUUCUUUUCUUCUUCCUUCGCUUUCUUCCUCGUAGCUGGUGCCUUUGAAUCUUCCUUUGUGCGCUCUUUUUGCAGGCUAGGCCCAGAGCCAAAGAAAAAAGAACUACUUGGAACAAAGAAUGGCUUGACGGGUUGAUAACAGAGCGUGACGGGCGGCCGGCUUG
rnacentral:lncRNA from 1 species